GUAGGUGGCAAGCGUUGUCCGGAAUUAUUGGGCGUAAAGCGUGCGCAGGCGUUUUGCUAAGACCGAUGUGAAAUCCCCGGGCUCAACCUGGGAACUGCAUUGGUGACUGGCAGGCUAGAGUAUGGCAGAGGGGGGUAGAAUUCCACGUGUAGCAGUGAAAUGCGUAGAGAUGUGGAGGAAUACCGUUGGCGAAGGCAGCCCCCUGGGCCAAUACUGACGCUCAUGCACGAAAGCGUGGGGAGCAAACAGGAUUAGAUACCCUGGUAGUCCACGCCCUAAACGAUGUCAACUAGUUGUUGGGGAUUCAUUUCCUUAGUAACGUAGCUAACGCGUGAAGUUGACCGCCUGGGGAGUACGGUCGCAAGAUUA
rnacentral:rRNA from 1 species